GGAGUUAGCCGGUGCUUCUUCUGUGAGUGAUGUCCUUCCUGCCGGCUAUUAACCCGCAGGCCUUCUUCCUCACUGAAAGUGCUUUACAACCCGAAGGCCUUCUUCACACACGCGGCAUGGCUGGAUCAGGGUUGCCCCCAUUGUCCAAUAUUCCCCACUGCUGCCUCCCGUAGGAGUCUGGGCCGUGUCUCAGUCCCAGUGUGGCUGAUCAUCCUCUCAGACCAGCUACGGAUCGUCGCCUUGGUGAGCCGUUACCUCACCAACCAGCUAAUCCGACAUAGGCUCAUCCGAUAGCGCGAGGCCCGAAGGUCCCCCGCUUUCCCCCGUAGGGCGUAUGCGGUAUUAGCCUGGGUUUCCCCCAGGUUAUCCCCCACUACCCGGGCAGAUUCCUAUGCAUUACUCACCCGUCCGCCGCUCGCCACCAGGGAGCAAGCUCCCCGUGCUGCCGCUCGACUUGCAUGUGUUAGGCCUGCCGCCAGCGUUCAAUCUGAGCCAGAUCAAACUCUGA
rnacentral:rRNA from 1 species